rnacentral:tRNA from 1 species
UGGAGUGCUGCUCAGAUGGUGGAUGGGCGCUGGACUGUAAAUCCAGUACAUUAGAAACUCAGUGGGUUCGAAUCCCACCACUCCAA